AUUUUAUUAAUAUAAAAAUAGUAUAUUUGAUUUCCAAUCAAAAAGUUUAAUUUUAAAUAAAAUA